rnacentral:tRNA from 2 species
GGAAGUGGCUCAGUGGUAGAGUGCUUGCCUGGCAUGUAUGAAGUCCUGGGUUGGAUCCCCAGUACCA